rnacentral:rRNA from 1 species
CUCAGCAGCCAUAUCACCCUGCAACUCACAAUUGGCAGCCCACUGAAGCUAAGCAGGUGUGAGCCUGGUCAGUACCUGGAUGGGAGACCUCCUGGGAAAAACUGCUGCUGGAA